rnacentral:rRNA from 1 species
AGUGAACGCUGGCGGUAGGCUUAACACAUGCAAGUCGAACGGCAGCACAGUAAGAGCUUGCUCUUACGGGUGGCGAGUGGCGGACGGGUGAGGAAUACAUCGGAAUCUACAUUUUCGUGGGGGAUAACGUAGGGAAACUUACGCUAAUACAGCAUACGACCUACGGGUGAAAGCAGGGGAUCUUCGGACCUUGCGCGAUUGAAUGAGCCGAUGUCGGAUUAGCUAGUUGGCGGGGUAAAGGCCAACCAAGUCGCCGAUCCGUAGCUGGUCUGAGAGGAUGAUCAGCCACACUGGAGCUGAGACACGGUCCAGACUCCUACGGGAGGCAGCAGUGGGGAAUGUUGGACAAUGGGCGCAAGCCUGAUCCAGCCAUACCGCGUGGGUGAAGAAGGCCUUCGGGUUGUAAAGCCCUUUUGUUGGGAAAGAAAAGCAGCAGGUUAAUACCCCGCUGUUCUGACGGUACCCAAAGAAUAAGCACCGGCUAACUUCGUG